rnacentral:rRNA from 1 species
ACGGAAGGCAGCAGUGAGGAAUAUUGGUCAAUGGACGCAAGUCUGAACCAGCCAUGCCGCGUGCAGGAAUAAGGCCCUAUGGGUCGUAAACUGCUUUUGUGGUGGAGCAAUAAGUCGUACGUGUACGGCGAUGAGAGUACAUCACGAAUAAGCAUCGGCUAACUCCGUGCCAGCAGCCGCGGUAAUACGGAGGAUGCAAGCGUUAUCCGGAUUUAUUGGGUUUAAAGGGUGCGUAGGCUGUGGUCCAAGUCAGGGGUGAAAGCCCGGAGCUCAACUCCGGAACUGCCUUUGAUACUGGAUUGCUGGAAUACGGAUGCCGUGGGAGGAAUGAGUAGUGUAGCGGUGAAAUGCAUAGAUAUUACUCAGAACACCGAUUGCGAAGGCAUCUCACGAAUCCGUCAUUGACGCUGAGGCACGAAAGCGUGGGGAUCAGACAGGAUUAGAUACCCUGGUA